UGGGGAAUAUUGCGCAAUGGGGGAAACCCUGACGCAGCAACGCCGCGUGAAGGAUGAAGGCCUUCGGGUUGUAAACUUCUUUGAUUGGGGACGAAUAAUGACUGUACCCAAGGAACAAGCCACGGCUAACUACGUGCCAGCAGCCGCGGUAAUACGUAGGGGGCGAGCGUUGUCCGGAAUGACUGGGCGUAAAGGGCGCGUGGACGGUUUUUUAAGUCUGGAGUGAAAGUCCUGCUUUCAAGGUGGGAAUUGCUUUGGAGACUGGGGGACUUGAGUGCGGAAGAGGUAAGUGGAAUUCCCAGUGUAGCGGUGAAAUGCGUAGAGAUUGGGAAGAACACCAGUGGCGAAGGCGACUUACUGGGCCGUAACUGACGUUGAUGCGCGAAAGCGUGGGGAGCGAACAGG
rnacentral:rRNA from 2 species